rnacentral:tRNA from 1 species
GCCCAGAUGGCGGAAUUGGUAGACGCACAGGACUUAAAAUCCUGCGAAAUUUAUUUCGUGCCGGUUCGACCCCGGCUCUGGGCACCA